CGCUCUCGAAUGCUCCCGAGAAGAAUCGUUUGGAAACUUCUUUUAUGCGUGUGAGAGUCAGGAGGAAACAGGAGACAGAUGACACGGAGUGCUCUGAGGACUGAAGCCGUGUCUGAGGGAGAUCCCAGCAGGACCCCAGAGCUUCCUGAAGCCCCAGCCUCAGGGGAAAUGAAGAGGGAGCUCAGGUGCACACCCUGAAGUGGAAAGAAAAGGAGACAUUCGUCAUUGAUUGAGCCUUACACUCCUGUCACUUAAUUCGUACACUAACCCGGAGAGAGAUGUAUUAUAACCCAGGCUUUCUUUUCGAUUUUUUUUUCUUGAGAGAGAAACACAGAUUUGU